UGAGAGGACGACCAGCCACACUGGAACUGAGACACGGUCCAGACACCUACGGGUGGCAGCAGUCGAGAAUUUUUCACAAUGGGGGAAACCCUGAUGGAGCGACGCGCGUGGGGGAUGAAUGGCUUCGGCCCGUAAACCCCUGUCAUUUGCGAACAAACCUGGUGGUUGAACAAACUGCCAGCUGAUAGUAGCAGAAGAGGAAGGGACGGCUAACUCUGUGCCAGCAGCCGCGGUAAUACAGAGGUCCCAAGCGUUGUUCGGAUUCACUGGGCGUAAAGGGUGCGUAGGCGGUGGGGUAAGUUGAGGUGAAAUCUCCGGGCUCAACCCGGAAAAUUGCCUUGAAGACUAUCCUGCUAGAGGAUCGGAGGGGAGACUGGAAUUCUCGGUGUAGCAGUGAAAUGCGUAGAUAUCGAGAGGAACACCAGUGGC
rnacentral:rRNA from 1 species